GUAUAAAAAGGUGUCAAAAAUGGUCAAAAAAUGUCAUUGUAUAGUAUGGCUUCAAAAAUGGUCAAAAAAUGUCAUUGUAUAGUAAGGCCUCAAAGACGGUCAAAAAAUAUCAUAGUAUAGUAUGGCUUCAAAAAUGGUCAAAAAAUGUCAUAGUAUAGUAAGGCGUCAAAAAUGGCCAAAAAAUGUCAUAGUAUAGUAUGGCGUCAAAAAUGGUCAAAAAAUGUCAUUGUAUAGUAUGGCGUAAAAAUGGUCAAAAAAUGUCAUAGUAUAGUAUGGCAUCAAAAACGGUCAAAAAAUGUCAUAGUAUAGUAUGGCUUCAAAAAUGGUCAAAAAAUGUCAUAGUAUAAUAAGGCAUUAAAGAUGGUCAAAAAAUGUCAUAGUAUAGUAAGGCAUCAAAAAUGGUCAAAAAAUAUCAGAGUAUAGUAUGGCGUCAAAAACGAUCAAAAAAUGUCAUAGUAUAGUAAGGCGUCAAAAAAGGUCAAAAAAUGUUAUAGUAUAGUAUGGCGUCAAAAACGCUCAAAAAAUGUCAUAGUAUAGUAUGACGUCAAAAACGCUCAAAAAAUGUCAUAGUAUAGUAUGGCGUCAAAAAUGGUCAAAAAAUGUCAUUGUAUAGUAUGGCGUAAAAAUGGUCAAAAAAUGUCAUAGUAUAGUAUGGCUUCAAAAAUGGUCAAAAAAUGUCAUAGUAUAGUAAGGCGUCAAAAAUGGCCAAAAAAUGUCAUAGUAUAAUAAGGCAUUAAAGAUGGUCAAAAAAUGUCAUAGUAUAGUAAGGCGUCAAAAAUGGCUAAAAAAUGUCAUAUUAUAUUAAGGCAUCAAAAACCACCAAAAAAUGUCAUAGUAUAGGUAGGCAUCAAAAACCACAAAAAAAUGUCAUAAUAUAGUAAGGCACCAAACACGGCUAAAAAAUGUCACAGUAUAGUAUGGCGUCAAAAAUGUCAAAAAAUACUGAAAUAUAAUAUGGUGACAAAAACUGUCAAAAAAUGUCAAGAUGUUACUUAUGUUUGUAUUAAAAUUUCAGAAUUUGAAGCAAAAAUGUCACGAAAAAGUCAUAGUAUGACAUGUGGUCAAAAAUGUCACCAAAAAACGUAGUAUAGUAAGGCAUCAAAAAUGUCACAAAAAAGUCAUAGUAUAGUAAGAUGUCAAAGACAUCGAAAAUAUCAUAAAAACAUCAUAAUAUAGUAUGUAGUCAACACUGUCACAGAAAUGUCAUAGUAUUGUAUGUGGUCAAAAAUGCCACAAAAAAACAUAAGGCGUCAAAAAUGUCACAAAAAUGCCAUAAUAUAGUAUGUGGUCAAAAAUAUCAUAAAAA